rnacentral:rRNA from 1 species
AUACGGAGGAUCCGAGCGUUAUCCGGAUUUAUUGGGUUUAAAGGGUGCGCAGGCGGGAGAUUAAGUCGGCGGUGGAAUUUUGCAGCUCCACUGUAAAAGUGCCUUCGAAACUGGUUUCCUUGAGGGUAGAUGAAAUAGGCGGGAUUUGUGGUGUAGCGGUGAAAUGCAUAGAUAUCACGAGGAACUCCGAUUGCGCAGGCAGCUUACUAAACUACUACUGACGCUCAGGCACGAAGGCGUGGGGAUCAAACAGAAUUAGAUACCCUGGUAGUCCACGCAGUAAACGAUGAUUACUAGCUGUUUGCGAUACAAUGUAAGCGGCUGAGCGAAAGCGUUAAGUAAUCCACCUGGGGAGUACGUUCGCAAGAAUGAAACUCAAAGGAAUUGACGGGG